AGUGAACGCUGGCGGUAGGCCUAACACAUGCAAGUCGAACGGCAGCACAGUAAGAGCUUGCUCUUACGGGUGGCGAGUGGCGGACGGGUGAGGAAUACAUCGGAAUCUACUUUUUCGUGGGGGAUAACGUAGGGAAACUUACGCUAAUACCGCAUACGACCUACGGGUGAAAGCAGGGGAUCUUCGGACCUUGCGCGAUUGAAUGAGCCGAUGUCGGAUUAGCUAGUUGGCGGGGUAAAGGCCCACCAAGGCGACGAUCCGUAGCUGGUCUGAGAGGAUGAUCACCCACACUGGAACUGAGACACGGUCCAGACUCCUACGGGAGGCAGCAGUGGGGAAUAUUGGACAAUGGGCGCAAGCCUGAUCCAGCCAUACCGCGUGGGUGAAGAAGGCCUUCGGGUUGUAAAGCCCUUCUGUUGGGAAAGAAAAGCAGCAGGUUAAUACCCCGCUGUUCUGACGGUACCCAAAGAAUAAGCACCGGCUAACUUCGUG
rnacentral:rRNA from 1 species